rnacentral:rRNA from 1 species
GGGACUUGUAUGAAUGGCCCACGAGGGCUUUACUGUCUCUUACUUCCAAUCCGUGAAAUUGACCUUCCCGUGAAGAGGCGGGAAUACAACAAUAAGACGAGAAGACCCUAUGGAGCUUUAAUUAAUCGACUCAAAGAGACCUCACUAACUAACCGACAGGAACAACAAACCUCUACAUGAGCCGACAAUUUAGGUUGGGGUGACCUCGGAGAACAAAAUAACCUCCGAGUGAUUUAAAUCUAGACUAACCAGUCAAAAGUAUUACAUCACUUAUUGAUCCAAAAACUUGAUCAACGGAACAAGUUACCCUAGGGAUAACAGCGCAAUCCUAUUUCAGAGUCCAUAUCGACAAUAGGGUUUACGAC